rnacentral:pre_miRNA from 1 species
CACCCGUAAUUCCGAACUUGAGUGGGAUACUAAAAUGGCUAUUAAACAUUUAAAUACAAAAAAUAAAGACCUGAGUUUGUAAUAUACGGGUAAA